rnacentral:rRNA from 1 species
GAGUUUGAUCGUGGCUCAGAUUGAACGCUGGCGGCAUGCUUUACACAUGCAAGUCGAGCGGCAGCGCGGGGGCAACCCUGGCGGCGAGCGGCGAACGGGUGAGGAAUACAUCGGAACGUACCCGAGAGUGGGGGAUAACGCCGCGAAAGCGGCGCUAAUACCGCAUAUUCUCUUUGGAGGAAAGUGGGGGACCUGCAAGGGCCUCACGCUCACGGAGCGGCCGAUGUCGGAUUAGCUAGUUGGUGGGGUAAAGGCCUACCAAGGCGACGAUCCGUAGCUGGUCUGAGAGGAUGAUCAGCCACACUGGGACUGAGACACGGCCCAGACUCCUACGGGAGGCAGCAGUGGGGAAUUUUGGACAAUGGGGGCAACCCUGAUCCAGCCAUGCCGCGUGCGGGAAGAAGGCC